ACUUCUCUUUCGACAACAUUGCAAGAUACCAUACACGAGUAGGGUUACAUUUAGGGAUGGAUCUACAAUUAUACGAGUGGUGUCAUCUGACACCAACAAAUUUUUCUUAGUCCAUAUACCCUCCUUAUACCCUACCAUGGGUCAUAUGGGUGACACCACUAGGCUUUAUGCUUUGGCACCAGUGCUCAACCAUUUGUUCUGUUGCUUAGCCCAAACAGCAACUAGCAAAGGACAUAUCGUUAUGGCUUGAGGCAGGUUGCAUCUUUGUCUUCCACUAUCUCAAGAC
rnacentral:lncRNA from 1 species